ensembl:snoRNA small nucleolar RNA, C/D box 57
CGGACGUGAUGUGAAAUUGCCAUCCUGACCCACAGCUGGAGGCAAAAAACUGAUUUAAUGAGACUGAUCC